rnacentral:rRNA from 1 species
GAAAGCGUAAUAGCUCACUGGUCGAGUCGUCCUGCGCGGAAGAUGUAACGGGGCUCAAAUCUAUAACCGAAGCUGCGGAUGCCAGUUUACUGGCAUGGUAGGGGAGCGUUCUGUAGGCCGAUGAAGGUGCAUUGUAAAGUGUGCUGGAGGUAUCAGAAGUGCGAAUGUUGACAUGAGUAGCGAUAAAGCGGGUGAAAAGCCCGCUCGCCGAAAGCCCAAGGUUUCCUACGCAACGUUCAUCGGCGUAGGGUGAGUCGGCCCCUAAGGCGAGGCAGAAAUGCGUAGUCGAUGGGAAACAGGUUAAUAUUCCUGUACUUGAUUCAAAUGCGAUGUGGGGACGGAGAAGGUUAGGUUAGCAAGCUGUUGGAAUAGCUUGUUUAAGCCGGUAGGUGGAAGACUUAGGCAAAUCCGGGUCUUCUUAACACCGAGAAGUGAUGACGAGUGUCUACGGACAUGAAGUAACCGAUACCACGCUUCCAGGAAAAGCCACUAAGCUUCAGUUUGAAUUGAACCGUACCGCAAACCGACACAGGUGGGCAGGAUGAGAAUUCUAAGGCGCUUGAGAGAACUCAGGAGAAGGAACUCGGCAAAUUGAUACCGUAACUUCGGGAGAAGGUAUGCCCUCUAAGGUUAAGGACUUGCUCCGUAAGCCCUGGAGGGUCGCAGAGAAUAGGUGGCUGCGACUGUUUAUUAAAAACACAGCACUCUGCUAACACGAAAGUGGACGUAUAGGGUGUGACGCCUGCCCGGUGCUGGAAGGUUAAUUGAAGAUGUGCAAGCAUCGGAUCGAAGCCCCAGUAAACGGCGGCCGUAACUAUAACGGUCCUAAGGUAGCGAAAUUCCUUGUCGGGUAAGUUCCGACCCGCACGAAUGGCGUAACGAUGGCCACACUGUCUCCUCCUGAGACUCAGCGAAGUUGAAGUGGUUGUGAAGAUGCAAUCUACCCGCUGCUAGACGGAAAGACCCCGUGAACCUUUACUGUAGCUUUGCAUUGGACUUUGAAGUCACUUGUGUAGGAUAGGUGGGAGGCUUUGAAGCAGAGACGCUAGUCUCUGUGGAGCCGUCCUUGAAAUACCACCCUGGUGUCUUUGAGGUUCUAACCCAGACCCGUAAUCCGGGUCGGGGACCGUGCAUGGUAGGCAGUUUGACUGGGGCGGUCUCCUCCCAAAGAGUAACGGAGGAGUUCGAAGGUUACCUAGGUCCGGUCGGAAAUCGGACUGAUAGUGCAAUGGCAAAAGGUAGCUUAACUGCGAGACCGACAAGUCGAGCAGGUGCGAAAGCAGGACAUAGUGAUCCGGUGGUUCUGUAUGGAAGGGCCAUCGCUCAACGGAUAAAAGGUACUCCGGGGAUAACAGGCUGAUUCCGCCCAAGAGUUCAUAUCGACGGCGGAGUUUGGCACCUCGAUGUCGGCUCAUCACAUCCUGGGGCUGUAGUCGGUCCCAAGGGUAUGGCUGUUCGCCAUUUAAAGUGGUACGUGAGCUGGGUUUAAAACGUCGUGAGACAGUUUGGUCCCUAUCUGCAGUGGGCGUUGGAAGUUUGACGGGGGCUGCUCCUAGUACGAGAGGACCGGAGUGGACGAACCUCUGGUGUACCGGUUGUAACGCCAGUUGCAUAGCCGGGUAGCUAAGUUCGGAAGAGAUAAGCGCUGAAAGCAUCUAAGCGCGAAACUCGCCUGAAGAUGAGACUUCCCUUGUGGUUUAACCACACUAAAGAGUCGUUCGAGACCAGGACGUUGAUAGGUGGGGUGUGGAAGCGCGGUAACGCGUGAAGCUAACCCAUACUAAUUGCUCGUGAGGCUUGACUCU